UACGUAGGGGGCAAGCGUUGUCCGGAUUUAUUGGGCGUAAAGAGCUCGUAGGCGGUUUGGUAAGUCAGGUGUGAAAUCUCCACGCUCAACGUGGAGGGGCCACCUGAUACUGCCAUGACUGGAGUCCGGUAGAGGAGUGUGGAAUUCCCGGUGUAGCGGUGAAAUGCGUAGAUAUCUGGAGGAACACCGGUGGCGAAGGCGGCAUCCUGGACCAACACUGACGCUGAGGAGCGAAAGCCAGGGAGCAAACGGG
rnacentral:rRNA from 1 species